AGACCCUGGUCUGCACUCUAUCUGUAUGCUGACUAAAGGGAGUGCAGGGCAGGGUUUC
rnacentral:pre_miRNA from 1 species